rnacentral:rRNA from 1 species
CCUUUUGUAUAAUGGGUCAGCGACUUAUAUUCUGUAGCAAGGUUAACCGAAUAGGGGAGCCGAAGGGAAACCGAGUCUUAACUGGGCGUUAAGUUGCAGGGUAUAGACCCGAAACCCGGUGAUCUAGCCAUGGGCAGGUUGAAGGUUGGGUAACACUAACUGGAGGACCGAACCGACUAAUGUUGAAAAAUUAGCGGAUGACUUGUGGCUGGGGGUGAAAGGCCAAUCAAACCGGGAGAUAGCUGGUUCUCCCCGAAAGCUAUUUAGGUAGCGCCUCGUGAAUUCAUCUCCGGGGGUAGAGCACUGUUUCGGCAAGGGGGUCAUCCCGACUUACCAACCCGAUGCAAACUGCGAAUACCGGAGAAUGUUAUCACGGGAGACACACGGCGGGUGCUAACGUCCGUCGUGAAGAGGGAAACAACCCAGACCGCCAGCUAAGGUCCCAAAGUCAUGGUUAAGUGGGAAACGAUGUGGGAAGGCCCAGACAGCCAGGAUGUUGGCUUAGAAGCAGCCAUCAUUUAAAGAAAGCGUAAUAGCUCACUGGUCGAGUCGGCCUGCGCGGAAGAUGUAACGGGGCUAAACCAUGCACCGAAGCUGCGGCAGCGACGCUUAUGCGUUGUUGGGUAGGGGAGCGUUCUGUAAGCCUGUGAAGGUGUGCUGUGAGGCAUGCUGGAGGUAUCAGAAGUGCGAAUGCUGACAUAAGUAACGAUAAAGCGGGUGAAAAGCCCGCUCGCCGGAAGACCAAGGGUUCCUGUCCAACGUUAAUCGGGGCAGGGUGAGUCGACCCCUAAGGCGAGGCCGAAAGGCGUAGUCGAUGGGAAACAGGUUAAUAUUCCUGUACUUGGUGUUACUGCGAAGGGGGGACGGAGAAGGCUAUGUUGGCCGGGCGACGGUUGUCCCGGUUUAAGCGUGUAGGCUGGUUUUCCAGGCAAAUCCGGAAAAUCAAGGCUGAGGCGUGAUGACGAGGCACUACGGUGCUGAAGCAACAAAUGCCCUGCUUCCAGGAAAAGCCUCUAAGCAUCAGGUAACAUCAAAUCGUACCCCAAACCGACACAGGUGGUCAGGUAGAGAAUACCAAGGCGCUUGAGAGAACUCGGGUGAAGGAACUAGGCAAAAUGGUGCCGUAACUUCGGGAGAAGG